rnacentral:rRNA from 1 species
CCUACGGGUGGCAGCAGUAGGGAAUCUUUCACAAUGGGCGAAAGCCUGAUGGAGCAACGUCGCGUGCAGGAUGAAGGCCUUCGGGUUGUAAACUGCUUUUAUAAGCGAGAAAUAUGAUGGUAACUUAUGAAUAAGGAUCGGCUAACUACGUGCCAGCAGCCGCGGUCAUACGUAGGAUCCGAGCAUUAUCCGGAGUGACUGUGUGUAAAGAGUUGCGUAGGUGGCAUAAUAAGUAGCUAGUGAAAUCUGGUGGCUCAACCAUUCAGACUAUUAGCUAAACUGUUAAGCUCGAGACCGUUAGGGGUAACUGGAAGUUCUAGUGUAGGAGUGAAAUCCGUAGAUAUUAGAAGGAACACCAAUAGCGUAGGCAGGUUGCUGGGACGGUUCUGACACUAAGGCACGAAAGCGUAGGGAGCAAACGGGAUUAGAUACCCGAGUAGUC